GUUUUAUACUCAUGAACGGAGAGAGCGGCACCGCGCUAAGAAGGAGGUGGGAGAGUUGUAAUGAGCGUCUGGCGCUCUCUUCUCCCCUUCUAGCCCUCUGCUCCUGCACUUGGGCUUUGGGAUAAAGUCAUCCAUCUGCCCCUCUUUGUGACCAGAGCGAGUGAGUGGCUUUUUAAUGGAAAGACGACUUCAAGCAUCUCUGUAUCCAGACGCGGCUGCAAAAAGCAGGGCAAAGCAACAGACAAAAGGACAGAGGUGUAUACAAACGGUUGGGAAACUGGACCGUUCCUUUGUUCCUUUCUGGGAAGUUUACAGCAAGCAGAGCCCUGAGCGGAGACUAACCAAUGAUGAGCAUGAUAUGGCCACGGCCGGAAACGCCAGGAGCGCAUCUAUCCUUUCAAGAUCUAUGUCUGAAGUUUUGCUGAGUCUCUAAAAUCACCCCGUGCCUUGGAGAGAGGACUCAGCUUGGAAUGUGUAGCUGGCCUCAGAGCCUCAGUGGAGAUCACUUUGGGUGAGAUCCUGGCUCACUCUCCCGCUCUCUUCUUGUAACUAUCAGGGGUGGACCAAUCCCCAGCUAAAUGCUUUCCAUAGGAUUCAAACAGGAUGAGCACUGCCCUGGUGACAAGAAGAAUGCUAACACCGAUGGCGGCAGCAGGUCAUCAAUCUUCCCACAAGUUGACCACAUUUUUGGACACAAGCAAGUCUCUACAGAUACAAGAAUAUUGAGGUAAUACCAUGCAUCCUAUCUGACCACCAUAGAUUAAAGCUGGAUCAACAACAGAAACUAUAUAAACUCAUGGAAACUGAACAACUCAAUGCUGAGUUAAAAAAUGAGUCAAGACAGAAGUCAAGAAGGAAACGAAAAGCUUUUAAUAAUUG
rnacentral:lncRNA from 1 species